GUGGCUGUGGCUCAGCAGUAGAGCACUCACCUAGCACAUGUGAGGCCCUGGGUUCAAUCCUCAGCACCACA
rnacentral:tRNA from 1 species